UGCUGCUGGUUAGUGCCUUAGUGGGCGGUGUCUUGGCGCUAGAUGGGAGUGGUUUUGCUGGAAAUUCACCGCUCUCCACGUGUUGUUCUUCAACAGCAACAAGUUUAGCGGUGAAUUGGGUAAGAUGCAAGAAUCACCGCUCGAAAGCUUUGCAGUUUCCAUUACAGUCUUUUCUUAGCCUGCUCUACCGGUCCUUUUUUCACCUCGUCAUCUUCCAAUUUGAUUGCCUCCUCCACUGCGUCUUCAUCCACAAUUGACUUGUAAGUGUUCUAGAAAGAGUGGGGAAAUUCAUGGUGGCCGAUUAAGUCUAGGAAGGAGCAAGUGACUUGGUAGGUGUUAUUUGCAGGAGCUGGUUAAUUUUUGCUGUUUUUGACAGUGGUGCGGUUUAAUCUGGGGAUGUGUUGAAAUGUUGAAGUGGAUUUUAGGAUUUUUCAUCAGUAUUUAGGUGUUCUGCAGGUGUUCUAUGUGAGCCUUACUUUGUUUUGUUGGUUUGCAUGAAUGGCUGAUGUGUAACUAAGAAAGCUCGGCAGCGGAUAUAUGAGGGCGAGCUGCUAAUUGUGUUGGGUAAGCUGACGUAGUAGUGCUUUAGCAGGAAGCAGUGAAGACUAUCUCAGUUUUGGGACUCUCUCAAUCUGCUGCAUUUCCUCAUGUUUAAUUGGCAAAAAAAGGCUAGAUAGAUCUUGGCAAAAUUGAAUGCACAAUCCAUAGCAUCCAGAUCAGAUAAAUAUGUUACUCCCUGAAUUGUAUCACCCUGAAGAAAAAAGAGAUAGCUACUACCCAUAUGAAAAAACAAUGAUCCUUUUAUAUAGUAGCAGGAAAUUGGCCACGUACAAAGAAAAUCAGCACUACUUGGCAAUCCUUUCCUAACUCAAUCAACGCAUUGGAAUACAAGUAGCAACCCAACUCAGGUAAAUUAGAAACCAAAUACUGCACAGGCAUGCAAACAACACCUGGCUAACACCAGUACAACCCACCACCACGGCCUAACCUUUCCCUGCUGGCUUUUCCUGUGGGUUGAAUAAUUCUUUCUGCCCUCCAAUUUUUCAAACUCAUUCUAAUAAAAUAUCAGGUCCUAGCUACCUGACGCAUAGCGUCAGGGCAGAAUA